GACGAACGCUGGCGGCGUGCUUAACACAUGCAAGUCGAACGGAAAGGCCCUGCUUUUGUGGGGUGCUCGAGUGGCGAACGGGUGAGUAACACGUGAGUAACCUGCCCUUGACUUUGGGAUAACUUCAGGAAACUGGGGCUAAUACCGGAUAGGAGCUCCUGCUGCAUGGUGGGGGUUGGAAAGUUUCGGCGGUUGGGGAUGGACUCGCGGCUUAUCAGCUUGUUGGUGGGGUAGUGGCUUACCAAGGCUUUGACGGGUAGCCGGCCUGAGAGGGUGACCGGGCACAUGGGGACUGAGAGACGGCCCAGACUCGUACGGGAGGCAGCAGGGGGGAAUAUGGCACAAUGGGCGGAAGCCUGAUGCAGAAACGCCGCGGGCGGGAUGACGGCCUUCGGGGUGUAAACCGCUUUCGCCUGUGACGAAGCGUGAGUGACGGUAAUGGGUAAAGAAGCACCGGCUAACUACGUG
rnacentral:rRNA from 1 species